GAUGAACGCUGGCGGCGUGCCUAAUACAUGCAAGUCGAGCGAACGGACGAGAAGCUUGCUUUUCUGAUGUUAGCGGCGGACGGGUGAGUAACACGUGGAUAACCUACCUAUAAGACUGGGAUAACUUCGGGAAACCGGAGCUAAUACCGGAUAAUAUUUUGAACCGCAUGGUUCAUAAGUGAAAGACGGUCUUGCUGUCACUUAUAGAUGGAUCCGCGCUGCAUUAGCUAGUUGGUAAGGUAACGGCUUACCAAGGCAACGAUGCAUAGCCGACCUGAGAGGGUGAUCGGCCACACUGGAACUGAGACACGGUCCAGACUCCUACGGGAGGCAGCAGUAGGGAAUCUUCCGCAAUGGGCGAAAGCCUGACGGAGCAACGCCGCGUGAGUGAUGAAGGUCUUCGGAUCGUAAAACUCUGUUAUUAGGGAAGAACAUAUGUGUAAGUAACUGUGCACAUCUUGACGGUACCUGAUCAGAAAGCCACGGCUAACUACGUG
rnacentral:rRNA from 1 species